CCUACGGGGGGCAGCAGUGAGGAAUCUUGGUCAAUGGGCGCUAGCCUGAACCAGCCAAGUAGCGUGAAGGAUGACUGCCCUAUGGGUUGUAAACUUCUUUUAUAUGGGAAUAAAGUGCAGUAUGUAUACUGCUUUGCAUGUACCUUAUGAAUACGGAUCGGCUAACUCCGUGCCAGCAGCCGCGGUAAUCCUGAGGAUCCGAGCGUUAUCCGGAUUUGUUGGGUUUAAAGGGAGCGUAGGCGGGUUGUUAAGUCAGUUGUGAAAGGUUGCGGCUCAACCGUAAAAUUGCAGUUGAUACUGGCAUCCUUGAGUACAGGAGAGGUAGGCGGAAUUCGUGGUGUAGCGGUGAAAUGCUUAGAUAUCGCGAAGAACGCCGAUGGCGAAGGCAGGCUGCUGGACUGUAACUGACGCUGAUGCACGAAGGUGUGGGUAUCAAAAGGGAUUAGAUACCCGGGUAGUC
rnacentral:rRNA from 1 species